rnacentral:rRNA from 1 species
AAAGGUCAGUGAGCUAUAUCUGCUGCUGUGACGAUAGUCGCAAGAAGAAGCACUUGCUAUUCGUGCCAGAAGCGCGUAAUACGAGGGUGCAGCGUUAUCGAAUACUGGCCCAGUAAAGCGCACGCAGGCGGUGGAUAAGAUAGAUGUGAUAGCCCACGCUGCACUGUGAAUUGCAUUUAAAACUCGGGUCCAGCGGUAGUCUCGUAGAGGGGGGUAGAAUUAGCCAGGUGUAGCGGUGAUAAUGCGUAGAGAUCUGGAGGAAUAGCCGGUGUUGCGAAGGCGGCCCCCUCGACAAAGACUGACGCUCAGGUGCGAAAGCGUGCGGGAGCAAACACGAUUAGAUACUGCCCGGUAGUCCACGCCGUAAUGCAACGAUGUCGCAUUUGGAGGCUGUGUCCUUGAGACGUGAAGCUUCCGGAGCUAACGCGUUAAAUCGACCGCCUGGAGAGUACGGCCGCAAGGUUAAAACUCAAAUGAAUUGACGGCUGGGCCCGCACAAGCGGUGGAGCAUGUGGUUUAAUUCGAUGCAAGCGCGAAGAACCUUACCUGGCCUUGACAUGUCUGGAAUCGGCUGUAUGAGAUACGGGAGUGCCUUCGGGAAUCAGAACACAGGUGCUGCAUUUAAGGCUGUCGUCAGCUCGUGUCGUGAGAUGUUGGGUUAAGUCCCAGGUGCAACGAGCGCAACCCCUGUCCUUUGUAAGAAUGCCAGCACGUAAUGGUGGGAACUCAAGGGAGACUGCCGCUCAGUGAUAAACCGGAGGAAGGUGGGGAUGACGUCAAGUCAUCAUGGCCCUUACGGCCAGGGCUACACACGUGCUAGCAAUGGCGCGUACAGAGGGCUGCCCGAAGCUAGCGAUAGUGAGCGAAUCCCAAAAAGCGCGGUCGUAGGUCCGGAUUGGAGUCUGCUAACUCGACUCCAUGAAGUCGGAAUCGCUUGUAAUCGCAAAUCAGAAUGUUGCGGUGAAUACGUUCCCGGGCCUGUACACACCGCCCGUCACACCAUGGGAGUGGGUUGCACCAGAAGUAAAAUAGCUU